rnacentral:rRNA from 1 species
CCACGGAGGGCGCAAGCGUUGCUCGGAAUCACUGGGCGUAAAGCGGGUGUAGGCGGUCUAGCAAGUCAGAUGUGAAAGCCCACGGCUCAACCGUGGAAGUGCAUCUGAAACUGCUAGACUUGAGUGCCGGAGAGGGAAGUGGAAUUCCUGGUGUAGGGGUGAAAUCCGUAGAUAUCAGGAGGAACACCGGUGGCGAAGGCGACUUCCUGGACGGCCACUGACGCUGAGACCCGAAAGCGUGGGGAGCGAACAGGAUUAGAAACCCGGGUAGUCC